AUGCUUCAGCCUACAUUUUUUUCAGCUCUUAAGUUAGAUAUGAUUGUAUUGAUUAAGGUCACAUUCUCAUUGCUGUUCUUUACCAGGGACAGGGGGUUAUUAUUAUUUGUCUUAUUCAACAAAGCCAACAAGAUGACUCUCUUUUUUAUGCUCUCUUACUAUUGUCACCAUCCUUAUAUUCCUGUCACAGUUUCCCCCAAAAAAAUAAUUUUGAUCACCAUUUGUGAAAUAUCUUCAUCGAAUGUGCUGGCAUAUCUCCCAGAAGGGAAAGAUCCAAGGACCUUUUUUAAUUUAUGUGGAGCAGAGCUGCACAACCCUCAUCACAAUAAGAUAUAUAAAUUCAUUUCAGCUCGAUGUGAUAGAUAG
rnacentral:rRNA from 1 species